UACGAAGGGUGCAAGCGUUAAUCGGAAUUACUGGGCGUAAAGCGCGCGUAGGUGGCUUGAUAAGUUGGAUGUGAAAUCCCCGGGCUCAACCUGGGAACUGCAUCCAAAACUGUCUGGCUAGAGUGCGGUAGAGGGUAGUGGAAUUUCCAGUGUAGCGGUGAAAUACGUAGAUAUUGGAAGGAACACCAGUGGCGAAGGCGACUACCUGGACUGACACUGACACUGAGGUGCGAAAGCGUGGGGAGCAAACAGG
rnacentral:rRNA from 1 species